UCCUUUUAGAGCCUCCGUGCAUCCCAGGGAUGGUGUCCUCUACUGGAGGAUUUCUGCCUCACUUAACUUUCGGGAGCCUUUUAACUGCCUUCUGUUGCUUCUGCGGGUAGAAGACUUGGGCUAGCUAGAGUCUGCAGUGUCUCUGCCUCCUGAUCUGCCUUUGCUGAAUACUGGUUUACAGGAGAAUUUGAGCACAACUCAGAGGCACUGGUUGCGCAAAUGUCUGACUCCAGUAGCUCAGGAAGACGGACUGUUAAGCAAGAUGGGAAGUCAGCCUGCAAGCUGGAAGUGAGAGCUCACUUGCAGUUUUCCUUUCAGCCAGGAGGUUUCCUAGGCAGCCAUGGAAGCAGUAAUUAAAGAUGAGCAACUAAAAGGUGGAAAAAUUGCAGCAACCUAGGCCCUUUUAUCGGAACACAGUAAACCACCAAACAUGUAAGUGAAAUUAGCUGUGUUUAUAUUUAUUACGUUAAUGUUUGUAAGUGCUUAGAAUAGUAUCUGACACAGGAAACCGUGUGUGUUUGCCCUUUUCUAAGUUAUUGUCGGUGUACCUAAGCUCC